rnacentral:rRNA from 1 species
AAGACUUUGAAGAGAGAGUUCAAGAGUACGUGAAACCGUUCAGGGGUAAACCUGAGAAACCCAAAAGAUCGAAUGGGGAGAUUCAUCGUCAGCGGCGUUGGCUUCCGUGUGGAUCGCGAUGGCCGGGACCUCGGUUCCGCGUCACGCGUCCGCUGCGGUAUGUCCAACGUCGUCGGCGUGCACUUCUCCCCUAGUAGGACGUCGCGACCCGUUGGGUGCCGGCCUACGGCCCGGUUGGUCGACUGUCGCGUCGCGUUUACGCGUGCACGCGGCAGACCACCGGUUGCCCGGCCGGCUGCCCGGCGGUAUAGAUCGCUAUAAAACGGUAUUGGGCCGCAUUAAGUGCGUUCUGGCUCGUCGGCAGGCUCGUCUCGCUCGGAUUUACGGACCUAGUGCCGUUGCCGGGCGCUUGGCGUGGCCGUUAGUCGACGAUGUCCUCGGACUGGCUCUUACAUUCGAACGGAUUUACCGGUCGGCGACGCUACUGCUUUGGGUACUUUCAGGACCCGUCUUGAAACACGGACCAAGGAGUCUAACAUGUGCGCGAGUCAUUGGGACUUUUUAAGCCUAAAGGCGCAAUGAAAGUGAAGGUCGGCCCUAGCGUCGACCGAGGGAGGAUGGCUCGCGUCACGAUGCGAGCCCGCACUCCCGGGGCGUCUCGUGCUCAUUGCGAGCAGAGGCGCACCCAGAGCGUACACGUUGGGACCCGAAAGAUGGUGAACUAUGCCUGGUCAGGACGAAGUCAGGGGAAACCCUGAUGGAGGUCCGUAGCGAUUCUGACGUGCAAAUCGAUCGUCGGAACUGGGUAUAGGGGCGAAAGACUAAUCGAACCAUCUAGUAGCUGGUUCCCUCCGAAG